rnacentral:lncRNA from 1 species
UUUUAAUCUUUUUACUUAAACACAAAGUUCACAUCUUCUAAAAGUUUCUAAAAAAACUCUAAGGUAUAUUAUAACAUUAAAUCAAAACCCUGCAACAAAUUGCACAAUAGCCUUUAAAAAAAAAAAAACAGUUUUUUGUGUGGAUAUUCUCUAAGUGAAAAGAAAAAAUAUAUAGAUAUGUACUAAAGAGCUAAACAUAACACCUUAAAAGAUACUAUCACGAUAAAAUAUCCUUUUAUAUUCGAUUUCGUGUUUCAACCAUUAGAUACUUCUUAUGAUGUAGAGGUAUAUUUUGGGAGCACCACACACCAUCUUCAUUGCAUGAGUAUAGCAUAAAUGUGUCUUCCAUUAUUCUCAUUUAAUAGUGAACCUUCAGUUUGGCUAAUACUGGUAACAUAACAGCAGAGGAGAAGAAAUAUAACUUGUUAAUCUGCAAAAUAGAGAUAGUUAGUAGAAAAUAGAGAUAGUUAGUACAUCAUUUUUUAAAUGACAUAACUUUUGCACUUAGGUCCCUGCUUGUAAUGUGAUUUAUUGUUCCUCAUUCCUGGUGUACUUUAAGUAGUAUAAUAUGCAUGUGUAUGAAACUACUCGCUCUGCCUAUAAUAUUUAGUGCAUAGAUUUUAAGCAUAUUAUAGGGUUAGACACCAAUCAAAAUGAGUGAAUUUGGCUUUUAGGUAUUUACCAGUUAACCACCCUCAAGUUUUAAGCGGAAGUAGAGCAAAAAUCUCAUAAUCAUCUAUCAGCUCAUUCCUAAAGAUAACCUUAUUUCUUUAUCCCAUAGAACCCACACAAAUACCAUCCACAUGCAGGUUCAUAUUUUAUUUUGUUUACUAUUCAAUUCCAUAAGAUCAAACGGUCUAAAGUGAUGUUAUGGAUCAUUGUGACUAACACUAGUAUUUCCUACCUAUCUAUGGCAUUGGUUCCACACACUCCAAGCUAUUUUACAUGAGAAGAACAAAUGAUUACUACUUUCAUCUGCAUUGCCACACAUAACACACAAAUUGGAGCCUCUCAAUAUACCUCUCCUACUCAAAUUGUCAUUAGUUGUUAUUCUGUUAAUAAGGACUCUCCAUGCAAAGUGUUGAGUUGAGGGUAGAGCUUUGACUUCCAAAGGAUAACAAUAAGCAGAUCUGAUCUUGUAGCUAUCACCCUCUUCAUCUUUCCAUAACAAUGUGUCAUCCCUAUCCUUACAGAUUAAUGUGUGUAAGAUCAUUGUUGAAUUUAUAUAAUUAAGGUAAUUCUCAUUUAAACUAUUCCCUUCUCCACUUCAUAUCCCAAACCUAACUAUGGUUGACCCAUUGACCAAACUCAUCAAUUGUCCAUUCUUAUCGAUGGAAUUUGCUUAUAGUAUUGGAUAGAUAACACCUAAAGGUUAUUCCAAUAUCCAUCUAUAUUCCCAAAAGUUAAUUUUAUUCCCCUUACAACACAUAAGGGUUGACACCUAUAAUUCAAGUUUUUCCAUCCUCCAUAUUUUGAUUCUAGAAUUACUUUCCAAAGUCCUUCCUCUCCCUUUGCUAAUCUCCAACUCCAUUUCCCUAAUAAUGCAAUGUAAACAUCUUCAAAUCUUUAAUACCUAGUCCUUUUUCCUCUUUUGGCUUACACAUGUUAUCCCAUUUUACCCACACCAUCUUUCUCCCUUCACUAAAAUCGCAACCAGAAUCGCGACGAGACGACGAAUAAAAAAAAAUGUUUGAAAAAGAGAUUUAGAGACGCCACCAUAGUUUAUUUUGGAAAACUAUAGAAAAACCAUAAAGAAAAACAUGGUAUGCAAUAACCAAAUUCUAGAUUCGGGACGUAAAUGACACUUUAAAGAAAAAAUAUAUAUUUUUUAGUUUUUUUAAGCCCAACAAGGAUUGACCUUACUCGUAGGUAUUCUCAUUCGGAAUAAGAAAUCAGGAUUACAUAGUUCAAAAACCUAUUUGGAUAAUUGUUUGAGAAAAUAUUUGGAAAUUUGUUUUGGAAUGAUCAUGGACAAUUUUGGAUUUUUGGAAACUGAACCUGACAAGGACCGACCUUGCUCUUACAUAUCUCCACUCUUGAUGGAGAAUCAAUGAUCAUGUAGUUUUGCUGAAAGAUUGUUUUUUUUUUAAAUGUGGAUAUUUUUUGUUUUUUGAAGAUUUUAUAUUUUUUUAGUAUUUUUGACAUGGUUGAGAAAAAGAAAGUAAUGAGUAUUAGGCUGACAUGGACGGUCACACGAAUACUCAUACCUUUGAAAUGAUAUUUAAUUAUUUUUAAAAGAGAACGAAAAGUAUUAAGUACUAGGACAAUGCAGAUGACCACUCGAGUGUUCAUAUCAUUAAAGCAUUAUUUUUGUUAUUUUUAUUUAUUUCGAAAAAAGGAAAAAAGAAAGUAAUGAACACUAGGACGGUAGGAAAGAUCACACAAGUGCUUAUACCUUUAAAACAUUAUAUUUAUUAUUUUUAUUUAUUUAAUGAAAGAAAGAUACUAGGACGGACAAUCACACAAGUGUUUAUAUCAUUUUUAGUAUUUCCUUAUUUUUAUUUUUUACUUUAUAUUUUUUCUUUUCUAUCUUUUGUUUUUUGUAAUUUUAUUUAUAUAUGAGCAAUAUUUUCAUAAAUGUCCAAAAUAAAAUUAUAAAAAUAAUUGUAUUUAUAAAAUAACAAUAAUAAUACUAUUUACAUACGCACCUUUUUUAAAGAAAAAUCUAAAUUAGAAAAUAAAUCAAUGUUGCAUUUAGUUAUUAAAAGAUAUUAAGUGUCAAAAAUAAAUUUAAAACUAUUUCUAUAAUAUAGUAACUUUACCACUUUUUUAUUUUAUAUUUUAUAUUUAAUUUUAUCUUUUAUUUUAUAAUUCUUAUUUAUUUUCAUAACAGAAUAAUGAUAUAUAUAUAUAUAUAUAUAUAUAUAUAUAUAUAUAUAUAUAUAUAUAUAUAUAUAUAUGUAAAGGUAACCUAACAAAAGAAAACAAAACCAAAAUAAAAAUAAAAGUGAGCACGAUGAUCUAGUUAACAAAGGGAAAAGCAGAAAGACAAACAAAACAGAGGUGCCAGUGGUAUCCAGGAUAAGUUUAAGUGGAAAGAAAAUAAAAACAAAGAAAAAUGAGUGAUAUUAUGUGAAUAAUGAGGGCUUCUAAACUCGCAUUUAGGUGAGGCGAGCGUGAAUAAGGAGUGAAAAAGUGAAACAGCACUGAAAUCAGCCAUACCUAACUCAAAUAUUCAUGCACAAGUAUGGUCAUGGAUAAGGCUAAUAUAAGCUACAGACACUUACCUACAAUGAACGGUCAGCCUUCUUCCUCUACCGUGAGCUUGUUUGAUUCUUUCCGAUCAGGGGAAGUCCCGAGUGCUGCCUAGGCCGCGGUAGCGAAGUGUGACCCAUGACCGUCCAAAUGUUCCCCUCUCUGCUUUUUGGAAGAUUAGGGUGAGAAGAAAAAAGGACAAACCCUCUGUACUGCCCCCAAACAAAUUCUCUCAACCGUUUUUCUCUGCAACCCCAGGCCGCUCCCAGCAAAAGGAACGAAAUCAGAAUGCGCGAAAAAACUUCCCUGUUGUUUGUCGCAUUCGUACAGGCCCUUUUUUUCUUUUUUCUUUUUUUAAAUCUUAUAUACUUAAAAGUAUUUUCUCCUCCUUUUUUGAAUUUAAAAUAUAAGAAAUAAAUAAAAAAGAAAAACAAUGCUAAUAAAUAAACAAAGACACAAUAAAAUAAAAUGAAAAUAAAAGAGUAAAAAUAAAGAUGAAAGAUAAUAAUAAUAAUAAUAAUAAAUAAGCAAAG